UGGCAGGUAGUUCAAUGGUAGAACAUUACAUCCUUAUUCAUACCUUGCCUUAGAGGCCGAAGAAUUAGGGUUAUCGUCUGUAACACGAAGGAUGCGGGUUCGAUUCCCGUCCUGCCAC
rnacentral:tRNA from 2 species